rnacentral:misc_RNA from 1 species
GGAGCACUCGUCGAUUCAAGUGGGAAAUACUAAUGAACAAAAUGAUAGCAUAGGCUUGGAAUUAGAAGAUUUGACCCUUUCUGAUGGAGAAAGUGGCAGCUCUGGUGCCAAUUCUGGUCAGUUUCCAGGAUUCGGUUUGGUUCCACUUUUCGAGGGAGACAAUAUCUAUGAUCUUAUCAAGCGAAGGUUGCUUUCGGGUUUGGGUUCACUUGGCAACGAAACAACAGUCGCCAUGGUUCACAAGAACCCUUAUUGUAGCAUAAUGGGGCAAGCAAGGAUGCAAUCUUUUCUAACCUUCACAAAAGCAACGGAGAACAAAUGCGGUGGCGAUCCAAAUGUGAAGUAUGCUUGGUUUG